AUUGAACGCUGGCGGCAGGCCUAACACAUGCAAGUCGAACGAGUGGCGGACGGGUGAGUAAUGUCUGGGAAACUGCCUGAUGGAGGGGGAUAAAUACUGGAAACGGUAGCUAAUACCGCAUACCAUCAGAUGGGCCUAGACGGGCUUCGCUAGUUGGUGGGGUAACGGCUCACCAAGGCGACGAUCCCUAGCUGGUCUGAGAGGAUGACCAGCCACACUGGCACUGAGACACGGUCCAGACUCCUACGGGAGGCAGCAGUGGGGAAUAUGGCACAAUGGGCGCAAGCCUGAUGCAGCCAUGCCGCGUGUAUGAAUAAGGCCUUCGGGUUGUAAAGUACUUUCAGCGGUGAGGCGUUACCCGCAGAAGAAGCACCGGCUAACUCCGUGCCAGCAGCCGCGGUAAUUC
rnacentral:rRNA from 1 species